rnacentral:rRNA from 1 species
CUACGGGGCGCUGCAGUGAGGAAUAUUGGUCAAUGGGCGCGAGCCUGAACCAGCCAUCCCGCGUGCAGGAUGACGGCCCUAUGGGUUGUAAACUGCUUUUCUAUGCCAAGAAACCUGAUUACGUGUAAUCAGUUGCCGGUAACAUAGGAAUAAGCAUCGGCUAACUCCGGGCCAGCAGCCGCGGUAAUACGGAGGAUGCAAGCGUUAUCCGGAUUCAUUGGGUUUAAAGGGUGCGCAGGUGGGCUUGUAAGUCAGUGGUGAAAUGCUGCCGCUUAACGGUAGAACUGCCAUUGAUACUGCGAGUCUUGAGUAUGGUUGAGGUAGGCGGAAUGUGUUGUGUAGCGGUGAAAUGCAUAGAUAUGACACAGAACGCCAAUUGCGAGGGCAGCUUACUAAGCCAUUACUGACGCUGAGGCACGAAAGCGUGGGGAGCGAACAGGAUUAGAUACCCCGGUAGUC